CGGCCAAACAGCCGACAGCCGACACGCAUACAUCCACGAGCCUUCACAAUUAACCCCGCAUUAAUAUUUCAUUUGGCUGUUCAGUCGCUUCAUUCACAUUCACCAGAGUGCGCGUUCCUCUACGGGGCAAGUUCUCACAAUCGCUGUUGGUGGCUUAGUAAUUCGGUGAUCCACUGAAAGUUGGUCACUGAGUGGAAAGGUGAUCUCUACAAGUCUUGAUGGUUGAGCAGUGAUGUCGGCGCCGAUAGCCAAGUGGUUAAGGGUGCCAACAUACAGCCCUGAGGUGCUUACGACGACCAGAGUUCAAUUACGAUCCUGUUCCCCUCUCACUGCUCCCCACACUGUCUCAACUGUACUGUCCUACUAGUCAUCCAGUCUCCCUCCGAAAAACAGAAACCCAUACAAGUUUGGAACUAUUUGAGUGUGAAUAAAGCAUGACUAAAUGUUAUAAUUGGAUUGAUAACGUUUCCUUUUGAUGACCCACCUGAUCCCAAGCAGCUGGCCGAAAAACUUGCCUAAUGAGACAAAAGAGGCCACAGACACGCCAACCAUCCCACGCAGCCUUUUGGGGGCGCACUCCAAAAUAUACAUUGUGUGGACAGUCAGACUGACACCUGUAAAAACAUCAGUCAUAUAGGUGAUACGAACCCGUGCCACCAUGAUCAUCUCAAACGAGAGCGCAGUUUUACUGAACAAUAUGAGGAUGGCUCCACUGAUUGCCAAAACAUUGUUCAAAAGAAGAGUCGUCUUCCUAUGGAGGAUUAAAAACACACGUCAUAUUCUAUAAAACAUCAACUAUGAUGAACUUCUGAUAAAUGGUUUUAAGAUUGAACUGCUUUAUAGUAUGUUGUUUUCUGAGUCAGAUUCUCUAUACAUGCUAUUAUGUUGCCAAAUAAUCGACAUGCAAGUCAAUGAACACCAAACCAAGUCAAGUUCAAAGCACAGAGUUUAAUUAAACGGUUAUCAUUUAUAUUGUCAUGUAAUUUUAAAAUCAACAACAGAAACAGAAGACAUGUUAAAUGUACAAAUUAAAGGCAACUAGAAAACUAAGAGCUAAAGUACAUUGACAUUGCUCUGUUGGCUAAUGGGUAAAGCUAAACACUGUUUAACAAAUAACUAUGAAUAAAA